UACCAUGGUGGUAACGGGUAACGGGGUGUUAGGGCACGACACCGGAGAGGGAGCCUGAGAAACGGCUACCACAUCCAAGGAUGGCAGCAGGCGCGCAAAUUACCCAAUCCCGACACGGGGAGGUAGUGACAAUAAAUAACAAUACGGGGUUCUUUAGGAUCUCGUAAUUGGAAUGAGUACAAUUUAAAUCUCUUAACGAGGAACAAUUGGAGGGCAAGUCUGGUGCCAGCAGCCGCGGUAAUUCCAGCUCCAAUAGCGUAUAUUAAAGUUGUUGCAGUUAAAAAGCUCGUAGUUGAAUUUCGGGGUCAGUAGGUCGGUCGUGCCACUGGUAUGAACUGGUUUUACUGAUUCCUCCCUCUUGAAGAACUGUAAUGCCAUUAAUUUGGUGUUGCAGGGAAUCAGGACCGUUACUUUGAAAAAAUUAGAGUGUUUAAAGCAGGCUUUAGCUUGAAUACAUUAGCAUGGAAUAAUGAAAUAGGACGUUUGAUCCUAUUUUGUUGGUUUCUAGGAUUGACGUAAUGAUUAAUAGGGAUAGUUGGGGGCAUUAGUAUUCAAUUGUCAGAGGUGAAAUUCUUGGAUUUAUUGAAGACUAACUACUGCGAAAGCAUUUGCCAAGGAUGUUUUCAUUAAUCAAGAACGAAAGUUAGGGGAUCGAAGACGAUCAGAUACCGUCGUAGUCUUAACCAUAAACUAUGCCGACUAGGGAUCGGAUGAUGUUAAUUUUUUAAUGACUCAUUCGGCGCCUUACGGGAAACCAAUGUGUUU
rnacentral:rRNA from 1 species